AAGACGGCACAGUGAUGCUGAAACGUUGGCAGCCUGGGAAAGAACUGAAAAAACUCACUAAAGAGUCAAGACAGAGACACCAGAAAGACCCAAGAAGACUUGGACGCAGCAUCAGAGGACAGAGAGGGAUGUUCAGAACUCACUCAGUCUGGUUAGAAGAGAAUGACUCCUCAACCCAAGAGGCCCUGGAGCAGCUGUGAGAGAGCAGCAGUGUGGAAACAUUUGGGGAAAUUUAAGGAAGGUUUCCUGGUAAAGAGGAUUGACUGUUACGUAAAGGGUCAGAGCCACUGAGUGGACAAAAUAUUAAGGAUACCUUCCUAAUACUGAGUUACGCCUGGUCAGUUUGUCAUGGAAAGAAAGGUGUCCUUAAUGUUUUGUGUAAAUUACAUAAUAACUAUACAUUUAUGGAUUGAUUUAUAUAGCCUAUUGUUUUCUAUUUAUUCAACCUGCCAUCUACCCACCUGGGGACUGAGGGUUAUGAGAGAACCCCCACAUCACUAGCUUCUCUUUAUUCAACCUGCCAUCUACCCACCUGGGGACUGAGGGUUAUGAGAGAACCCCCAC
rnacentral:lncRNA from 1 species